GGAUUGCAAGAUCGUAAAGAGAGGUAAAGCAUUUAAUUGUUCUAUGUUUAUUUACUUUCUCUUUCAGGCUUGCUUCAAUUCUGAUUUGCUUUAAUUGAAGUCAAUAGAAGGUCAAUGUUUAACGUAUAUAGUCCUAAAACUGCACGGUAUGGGUUUUAUUUAAUUAUAUUCUAGGUAGAUUUGGAAAUUAUGGUCCAUUACUCCUAUAUAUCUG
rnacentral:misc_RNA from 1 species